rnacentral:rRNA from 1 species
AUUGAACGCUGGCGGCAGGCCUAACACAUGCAAGUCGAGCGGAUGAAGGGAGCUUGCUCCUGGAUUCCGCGGCGGACGGGUGAGUAAUGCCUAGGAAUCUGCCUGGUAGUGGGGGAUAACGUCCGUAAACGGGCGCUAAUACCGCAUACGUCCUGAGGGAGAAAGUGGGGGAUCUUCGGACCUCACGCUAUCAGAUGAGCCUAGGUCGGAUUAGCUAGUUGGUGGGGUAAAGGCCUACCAAGGCGACGAUCCGUAACUGGUCUGAGAGGAUGAUCAGUCACACUGGAACUGAGACACGGUCCAGACUCCUACGGGAGGCAGCAGUGGGGAAUCUUGGACAAUGGGCGAAAGCCUGAUCCAGCAAUGCCGCGUGUGUGAAGAAGGUCUUCGGAUUGUAAAGCACUUUAAGUUGGGAGGAAGGGCAGUAAGUUAAUACCUUGCUGUUUUGACGUUACCAACAGAAUAAGCACCGGCUAACUUCGUG